rnacentral:rRNA from 1 species
UACGAAGGGAGCUAGCGUUGUUCGGAAUUACUGGGCGUAAAGGGCGCGUAGGCGGUUUUAUAAGUCAGAUGUGUAAGCCCCGGGCUUAACCUGGGAACUGCAUUUGAGACUGUAAGACUUGAGAUCGAGAGAGGAAAGUGGAAUUACGAGUGUAGAGGUGAAAUUCGUAGAUAUUCGUAAGAACACCAGUGGCGAAGGCGGCUCACUGGCCCGAUACUGACGCUGAGGCACGAAAGCGUGGGGAGCAAACAGG